CCCAAGAAUGCCCUUCCUAUGCUCUUUUCCAAGCCAGUGGUUCCACUCGAUGAACCUUAAAGGGAUAGUUCACCCAUUUAGAACCGGAGUUCUAUCAUUAUAAAAUCGCUAUUGUAAUGUAAAUUAAUAUAUAAAAAAUAUCAGUCUAAACCAGUCUCCCCUUGGCCCAUUUUUUCUCAUCAAAUUUUCUCCCGAAAUGACGUCAAAUGACGCGUUUGACGUCAUUUCGGGAGAAACCUCUCUUCCCGCUAGAUGGGCCGAGGACUACAACACACUUUUGGUGGCAAAUUUGCCGGAAAUUUUUCCACCAAUAAGGAAUGAGAGGGGGCGGGAGCUUGCACGCUUGCACGCUCAGCUCGCGUACUGAGGGGGAAUGAGAGGGACGGGAGACCGACACAAACCUCUGACCAUGGCAGAAGCAACAGCUGAGUUUGAAAAUAUAUUGCUGCAUUGUAAUAUUCAGGGCUAUCUGUAUGAGCCAGAAUACAGCGAGGAAGAACUGAGACGAAUUCGAGGAGGAGGCUGCUGCGGCUGCAGCUGAACAAGCCUUGCCUGUUGCCGAGGAGCCGGAUCGCGCCGCCGCCGGAGUGAACUGGUGGUGUACCUGUUUGCUCUGUUCACCUAUGGAGACUCACAAAGAGUCCCUGUGCUGCAGCGAAUUUCAGCGAUGCCAGUUUCUUCGCGAUGAAAUGGCUGAAUCUGGCGAGGAAGGGGCCGUGUGUGUAACAUCUCACCCAGGCUUUACGCCUCAUCUGAACCGUUGGGUAUUGGACACUUAUUUCCGUACCCAGAAAAUAAACUGGAAACGCCAGCCAAAGCCCGCCGGGAGAAACGGACGUCUGAGCACAGAUAUAGGCUAACAUCUUACCGGCAUUUCCUGGAGUGGAUACUGCAAGGUGAGAGACUUGGGAGAGGCAAUCGCCUUGUUUUGCCAGCGUGUGUUGUCCAGGCCAUCAGGGCUAAUUACCCAACACAAGAUGGGCAGUACCGUGGCUACCAGGAGACGGUAGAUGCCCAAGAUGAGCUGUGAUAUUUAGCAAACUCACCAUACGUUUUGUUUUUGUAUAUAGAUUAUAUUUUAUGAAUAAAACUUCAAAUUCAUGUUGGUUGUUGUGAUUUGUUUACUAUACCAAAUGAUGUUACACUAAAGUAGGCCUGCUGUAUAAGAUGAACACUUAUUUCAACUGGGGAGAAAAGGUUUACAUAUAGCCUACUUGAUAUGCUGAAAUACUGUAAUUAGCAAAUGUUUGAUGUACAGUAAUAUACAAAUGAUACCUAAAAUAAUUAUAAAUCUAUUCUUGCU
rnacentral:lncRNA from 1 species